UAACAAUGACUAGAACUGUACGAGACUACUUGCGAUAAAAGUCGUUAGCUCGUCACACAUCACACAAGCUGGACGGACGGAACUUGAAUCAGAUUAGAGAUAUGUGAUGUAGCAGGUGGUACCUAAUUGAAUUUAAAGAGAAGAUUUAUCAUAAGAGGACGUCAUGGAUUCCAUUCGGUUGUUAUAUGAAUGAGUUACACGAAAUUAUCAUGAAUAUUGUAAAAAUGUAUGAAUUAAGUGUUGAGCGCGAUGACGGCGGGGUGGUGACGACACGCCUGACACAGAAGCAGUCUAUUUCCGGCGGUGACGCAACAUCCGCACACUUCCGGACAAGGGAUAUAGGAGGAGAUACAACUGUCGAGUCUCAGAAACAAUAUGCUGUCAUUGGGGGAAAUUAUAAUAGAAAUUCAAAAUGUUUGUAGAACAAAAAGUUUACAUAUUAAAGGGCUUAAGUUAAAGCGUA